rnacentral:lncRNA from 1 species
UUGUUAAAAGUGCUAUUGUGUUUUAAGUGUUAUUUUGCCCAUGUGUUUUGGAAAGUGAUUUUAAUAAGUGUGCAUUAAUCGUUAUUGAGGUAAGUAGUACCGAAAACACCUGCAUGAUGUUAGGCUUCUGUGUGCCCGAGAAUAACCAUUCCAUUUUGGGUGCAUGGAGAUGUGUUAAGUGUUAAGUGUGUGCCUAUGCAUGUAUGGUAGUAGGAAGAUGUGAAUGACCCUCCAUAACGGUGAUGUAGCAUAACUCAUUUUAUAAUAUAGCCAAG